GUCUAUGGCCAUGCCACCCUGAAUGUGCCUGAUCCCAUCUGAUCUUGGAAGCUAAGCAGGGUUGGGCCUGGUUAGUACUGGGAUGGGAGACCACCUAGGAAGACCAGCUGCUGGAGGCA
rnacentral:rRNA from 1 species